AGCCUUUGGGAAGGAUUAAAGGUUAUACCUGCCCAAUGUUAUAUUAAUGGCCGCGGUACUUUGACCGUGCUAAGGUAGCACAAUCAAUUGGCCCUUAAUUAGGGUCAGGUAUGAAUGGAGUUACGGGGCUUAGCUGUCUCUAGGCUAUUUAAUUGAAGUUGCUAUAUAGGUGAAAAAGCCUGUAUUAAGAAAAAAGACGAGAAGACCCUUAGAGUUUUACUUAAAAAAGAGUUAUUUCUUCACUAGUUUUGUUGGGGCAACAUAGGAGAAGAACUAAACCUCCUAAAGGAUAUAAACCGAUGUUUUUAAAUGUGAAUAAACUACCUUAGGGAUAACAGCAUAAUUUUAAAAAUAAGUUUGUGACCUCGAUGUUGGACUAGGAAACUUAAGGGCUAGCCGCCUUUUGGUAAGGUUCUGUUCGAACUAUAAUUCCU
rnacentral:rRNA from 1 species